rnacentral:rRNA from 1 species
UACAUGGGGUGCAAACGUUGCUCGGAAUUAUUGGGCGUAAAGCGCACGUAGGCGGUUUGUUAAGUCGGAUGUGAAAUCCCUCGGCUCAACUGAGGAAGUGCACCCGAAACUGGCAGGCUUGAGUACUAAAGAGGGUCGCGAAAUUCCCGGUGUAGAGGUGAAAUUCGUAGAUAUCGGGAGGAACACCGGUGGCGAAGGCGGCGACCUGGGUAGAUACUGACGCUGAGGUGCGAAAGCGUGGGGAGCAAACAGG